CCUACGGGAGGCAGCAGUGGGGAAUAUUGGACAAUGGGCGAAAGCCUGCUCCAGCAAUGCCGCGUGAGUGAUGAAGGCCUUAGGGUUGUAAAGCUCUUUUACCCGGGAUGAUAAUGACAGUACCGGGAGAAUAAGCCCCGGCUAACUCCGUGCCAGCAGCCGCGGUAAU
rnacentral:rRNA from 1 species